UACAGAGGUCCCAAGCGUUGUUCGGAUUCAUUGGGCGUAAAGGGUGCGUAGGCGGCGCGGUAAGUCGGGUGUGAAAUCUCGGAGCUUAACUCCGAAACUGCAUUCGAUACUGCCGUGCUUGAGGACUGGAGAGGAGACUGGAAUUUACGGUGUAGCGGUGAAAUGCGUAGAGAUCGUGAGGAAGACCAGUGGCGAAGGCGGGUCUCUGGACAGUUCCUGACACUGAGGCACGAAGGCCAGGGGAGCAAACGGG
rnacentral:rRNA from 1 species